rnacentral:rRNA from 1 species
GAUGAACGCUGGCGGCGUGCUUAACACAUGCAAGUCGAACGAUGAAGGUAGCUUGCUACUGGAUUAGUGGCGAACGGGUGAGUAACACGUGAGUAACCUGCCCUUGACUCUGGGAUAAGCACUGGAAACGGUGUCUAAUACCGGAUACGAGCUUCCGCCGCAUGGUGAGGAGUUGGAAAGAAUUUCGGUCAAGGAUGGACUCGCGGCCUAUCAGCUAGUUGGUGAGGUAAUGGCUCACCAAGGCGACGACGGGUAGCCGGCCUGAGAGGGUGACCGGCCACACUGGGACUGAGACACGGCCCAGACUCCUACGGGAGGCAGCAGUGGGGAAUAUUGCACAAUGGGCGAAAGCCUGAUGCAGCAACGCCGCGUGAGGGACG